AUGUAGUCAUAAUGCUUGUCUCAAAGAUUAAGCCAUGCAUGUCUAAGUAUAAACAAAUUCAUACUGUGAAACUGCGAAUGGCUCAUUAAAUCAGUUAUAGUUUAUUUGAUGGUACCUUACUACAUGGAUAACUGUGGUAAUUCUAGAGCUAAUACAUGCUGAAAAUCCCUGACUUCUGGAAAGGGAGUAUUUAUUAGAUAAAAAACCAAUGGCCUUCGGGUCUCCUUGGUGAAUCAUGAUAACUUCUCGAAUCGCAGGGCCUUGCGCCGGCGAUGCUUCAUUCAAAUAUCUGCCCUAUCAACUUUCGAUGGUAGGAUAGAGGCCUCACCAUGGUUAUGACGGGUAACGGGGAAUAAGGGUUCGAUUCCGGAGAGAGGGCCUGAGAAACGGCCCUCAUGUCUAAGGAUAGCAGCAGGCGCGCAAAUUACCCAAUCCCGACUCGGGGAGGUAGUGACAAUAAAUAACAAUAUAGGGCCCUCUGGGUCUUAUAAUUGGAAUGAGUACAAUUUAAUUUCCUUAACGAGGAUCAAUUGGAGGGCAAGUCUGGUGCCAGCAGCCGCGGUAAUUCCAGCUCCAAUAGCGUAUAUUAAAGUUGCUGCCGUUAAAAAGCUCGUAGUCGAACUUCGGCCUCUGCCUGCUGGUCCGCCUUUUUGGUGUGUACUGGUUUUGGUGGAAGCUUACCUCUUGGUGGGUCGGCAUGCCCUUUAUUGGGUGUGUCGAUUAACCAGGACUUUUACUUUGAGAAAAUUAGAGUGUUCAAAGCAGGCUUUUGCCCGAAUACAUUAGCAUGGAAUAAUAGAAUAGGACGCGCGUCUCUAUUUUGUUGGUUUCUAGAUUCGCCGUAAUGAUUAAUAGGGAUAGUCGGGGGCAUUCGUAUUGCGUGGCUAGAGGUGAAAUUCUUGGAUUCUCGCAAGACGAACUACUGCGAAAGCAUUUGCCAAGGAUGUUUUCAUUGAUCAAGAACGAAGGUUAGGGGAUCGAAAACGAUCAGAUACCGUUGUAGUCUUAACAGUAAACUAUGCCGACUAGGGAUCGGACAAGCACAAUUUAUGACUUGUUCGGCACCUGAAGAGAAAUCUUUAAGUCUAGGUUCGGGGGGGAGUAUGGUCGCAAGGCUGAAACUUAAAGGAAUUGACGGAAGGCCACCACCAGGUGUGGAGCCUGCGGCUUAAUUUGACUCAACACGGGGAAACUCACCAGGUCCAGACACAAUAAGGAUUGACAGAUUGAUAGCUCUUUCUUGAUCUUGCGGUUGGUGGUGCAUGGCCGUUCUUCAGUUGGUGGAGUGAUUUCGUCUGGUUAAUUCCGAUAACGAACGAGACCUUAACCCUGCUAAAUAGACCCGGAGCCUUAGGGAACCGGCUGUCUUCUUAGAGGGACUGUAGGCGUUUAGCCUACGGAAGUUUGAGGCAAUAACAGGUCUGUGAUGCCCUUAGAUGUUCUGGGCCGCACGCGCGCUACACUGACUGAGCCAGCGAGUUUUUUCCUUGGCCGGAAGGUCUGGGUAAUCUUGUGAAACUCAGUCGUGAUGGGGAUAGAGCAUUGCAAUUAUUGCUCUUCAACGAGGAAUACCUAGUAAGCGCAAGUCAUCAGCUUGCGUUGAUUACGUCCCUGCCCUUUGUACACACCGCCCGUCGCUACUACCGAUUGAAUGGCUUAGUGAGGCCUUCGGACUGGCUUUUGGGAGCGGGCGACUGCACCUGAUUGCUGGAAAGUUGUACGAUCUUGGUCAUUUAGAGGAAGUACAAGUCGUAACAAGGUUUCCGUAGGUGAACCUGCGGAAGGAUCAUUA
rnacentral:rRNA from 1 species